GACGAACGCUGGCGGCGUGCCUAAUACAUGCAAGUAGAACGCUGAAGGAGGAGCUUGCUUCUCUGGAUGAGUUGCGAACGGGUGAGUAACGCGUAGGUAACCUGCCUGGUAGCGGGGGAUAACUAUUGGAAACGAUAGCUAAUACCGCAUAAGAGUAGAUGUUGCAUGACAUUUACUUAAAAGGUGCAAUUGCAUCACUACCAGAUGGACCUGCGUUGUAUUAGCUAGUUGGUGAGGUAACGGCUCACCAAGGCAACGAUACAUAGCCGACCUGAGAGGGUGAUCGGCCACACUGGGACUGAGACACGGCCCAGACGCCUACGGGAGGCAGCAGUAGGGAAUCUUCGGCAAGGGACGGAAGUCUGACCGAGCAACGCCGCGUGAGUGAAGAAGGUUUUCGGAUCGUAAAGCUCUGUUGUAAGAGAAGAACGAGUGUGAGAGUGGAAAGUUCACACUGUGACGGUAUCUGACCAGAAAGGGACGGCUAACUACGUG
rnacentral:rRNA from 1 species